AUGAAUAUUUAUUUUAUGUCAUUGAGUUUUUCAGAAGCUUCUUGCUUAUUCAUGCAGGCCUCCCGCCACGUCUCCUUGACUUCCUACCCGUGGGGAUGGACCAGUCUUGAGUUUGUAGGAGGCAGUCCUUGAAAAUCAGCCAGAUCUCCUGGGCUCCUCCUCUCUCCAAGAUGAUAUCCCGUGGGAUUGCUUCUGCCCUUCUGUAUUGUCCCUCCUGCAGACAUCAGCAUUGUUAGAGUCUCCCAUGAGGACCUGGGCUGGUGAACAAGAUAUUUCUUCAAGUCAUCCAAAAGAGGCCCGAUGAUCUUCUGCUUCUUUUUUAUCACACAGUCUGAAGCAGACACCAACACCAAUAUCACUCGUGUUGGUCCACCAGCCAGCCCAGACCCAUAUGCUCACCUGCGUCAUGGCAGAGCUCCAUGUAUCCCUGCUUCUCACUCUAAUACAGGACAACUGCCCCUCAUCAUCAUCCCAGCCUGCCCUUCCCAAAGAGCCUGUACAAAGCCACUGCAGCACUCUAGUUGUGUGAGUGUGGUUUGCCUAUUACUUUGAGAUCUCUAAAAAUCCAGGCUCCAUCAACCUGAAGAAUUCAAAGGAACUCUGAUGUAGGAAUGAUGGCAGUAAAAUCACCUGCAUGAAUCAGCUGCAUGGAAACACCCAGGUGUGUACAAGGAGAUCAAACCAAGUUCUAUGCACUCUAAUACAUAAGCGGGUUCUGCUCCCAAUCCUGAACCACUGAUUGGCCACCAUACACUUUCACCUAAGCUCUUGGAGAAGAUCCCUGUUCAGCCAAGCUGGCCUUCAGCCCCACCUGUAUGACUUUGUACAUUAAGGAAUUGCUUGGUAAGAGGUGGUACUUAAAAAGUGGCCAGCACUGGUGGACCCCAAUGGCUUCAGAAGCAGUUUUCAUAGGGAACUUACCAAAUAGUUCCCUGAGCAGCAUGAAGUCUGCUUUCCCCGUAUCCAGUGUUAAUGUGGCAGUUUUUCUCCUAUCACCAAAGAUUGCAUGUUUACCAAUCUCAUGGUCACAAUGGCCAAGACAGCCUCCAGUUACCAUUUUACCCAUGAGACCUUCUCCACUUACAAGCAACAAAUCUAGGAGGACACCUUUCCUAGUUGACUCCCUUGGUAUCUGUAACAAGAAGUGCUACCAAAGACAUAAGAUGAUUUGUCUCUGUGGAAGAUCUCAGUCUUAUCCAUGAAAUCUCCCUCUUUGUUAUAGUGGUCUGAAGCACACAUUGGUAUUGAACAUUUCAGGAUCUCCUCCAACGUUUGUGAAACAGUUACAUUUACUAUGUGCAGAAUAUAAAUGACACCAGUUUUGAAAGGUCAAGGUAUGAAAUAUGUUAUUGCAAUACAUUUACUGUACCCACUAACUCUCACCAUCUGUACAUCACAGACAUCACUGACAUAGCACAUUUUCUCUGGGAAAAAAAA